CCUCUGCCAGGGUCCAUCUCCAGAAGAUCACCUGCUAGCUUUUAGCUUCUCCUAGAUGGCUCCUGCCACACUUCUAUCAGACUCCUGAACCAUACAGCCCUUUUAUCUUGGUGCGUUGGCCGGGAAUGAGAAACACCAUGGGAUAUUAAGCCUCUUUCACCAAUGGUCCAGGCCCUUGCCAUAUCCAGGACAGCUCCAGAGAAGCAACCUUCAGAUGCUCCAAUCUCCUCUCAGCUUCUCCAGAUGCAGACAGAUUCUACUGGACCUGUUCUCCUGACCUAUCUUCAAAUGGCUCUAAAAACCCUGGACAGCAAAGAAGCAGCCAGUCCUCCUGAGACUGGACAAUCAUCCCCCAUAACCCUUUCUCUAGGUUCCCCAGAGCCACACCGCCCCAAUGUCAGCAUGAAGCAGCCAGAUCUCAACAACGACCCUAUUCCUGCUUCGCCAUAUUUGCCGUCACUUCUUUUCUUUUUUCUUUUUCUUUUAUUAAUUAAUCAAACAUUGGAUAAUGUUGGGGUUUUGUCUAAGCUCCACCCCACACCUACCUGGCAAUAGCCAGGUAUGCCCUGUCCCAGAGAUCUGGCCCACUAUAAGAGAUCUAAGCUCCUCCUCUCCCUCUUUGUUCUCCCACUCUCCCACACUCUCUCACAUCUCUGCCCCUGGGGCUCUUCCCCCCUCCUCGUGGUCAUGGCCAGCCUCCACUCUCUCUCUCUUCUCUCUCUCUCUCUCUCCCUCUCUCUCUCUACCUCUCUCUACCACUAACCCCCAUCCCCUACUCUGAAUAAACUCUAUUCUAUACCAUAUCUGUGUGUGUGUGGUCCUCAGGGGCAGAGGUGCCCAGGCAAGGGCCCACCUGGACACCUUUCCCCACGCCACCUACCACACUCACGUAACUCCCUAUACUCUCCACUUUUAAGCCCUUUCAUCUUGGUGCUGAAAGUCCUUUCAAUGGUCACUUGAUCUUUGACAAAGGUGCUACAACCCUCCGAUGGAAAAAAGAUAGCCUUUUCAACAAAUGGUGCUGGUUCAACUACAGGACAGCAUGCAGAAGAAUGCAAAUCGAUCCAUUCUUAUCUCCGUGUACUAAGCUCAAG